GACGAACGCUGGCGGCGUGCUUAACACAUGCAAGUCGUACGGUAGGGCCCUUACGGGGGUCCAUGAGUGGCGAAGGGGUGCGUAACAGGUGGGUAUACUGCGCAAAAUUCUUGGUUAUCGCUAGGAAACUAGUGCUAAUACUGCAUAUGUGUCCUUGCUGCUAUGUGUGGGUUGGAAAGCUCUGGGGGCUGUGGCCGGUCUCGUGGCCCAUCUGCUUGUUGGUGGGGUAGUGGCUUACCAAGGCGGCGACGGGUAGCCGGCCUGAGAGGGUGACCGGCCACACUGGGACUGAGAUACGGCCCAGACGUCUACGGGUGGCAACUGGGCGGAAUAUUGAACAAUGCGCGCAAGACUGAUGCAGCAGCACCGCGUGCGGGAAGACGACCUUCGGGUUAAAAACCGCGUUCAGCAGGGAAGAAUCUUGUUGUGACGGUACCUACAGAAGAAGCACCGGCUAACUACGUG
rnacentral:rRNA from 1 species